rnacentral:rRNA from 1 species
AUGAACGCUGGCGGCGUGCCUAAUCCCUGCCAGUCGAGCGAACGGACGAGAAGCUUGCUUCUCUGAUGUUAGCGGCGGACGGGUGAGUAACACGUGGAUAACCUACCUAUAAGACUGGGAUAACUUCGGGAAACCGGAGCUAAUACCGGAUGAUACUUUGAACCGCAUGGUUCAAAAGUGAAAGACGGUCUUGCUGUCACUUAUAGAUGGAUCCGCGCUGCAUUAGCUAGUUGGUAAGGUAACGGCUUACCAAGGCAACGAUGCAUAGCCGACCUGAGAGGGUGAUCGGCCACACUGGAACUGAGACACGGUCCAGACUCCUACGGGAGGCAGCAGUAGGGAAUCUUCCGCAAAGGGCGAAAGCCUGACGGAGCAACGCCGCGUGAGUGAUGAAGGUCUUCGGAUCGUAAAACUCUGUUAUUAGGGAAGAACAUAUGUGUAAGUAACUGUGCACAUCUUGACGGUACCUAAUCAGAAAGCCACGGCUAACUACGUG